UACACAUGCAAGUCGAACGGCAGCGCGGGGCAACCUGGCGGCGAGUGGCGAACGGGUGAGUAAUAUAUCGGAACGUACCCUGGAGUGGGGGAUAACGUAGCGAAAGUUACGCUAAUACCGCAUACGAUCUAAGGAUGAAAGUGGGGGAUCGCAAGACCUCAUGCUCCUGGAGCGGCCGAUAUCUGAUUAGCUAGUUGGUAGGGUAAAAGCCUACCAAGGCAUCGAUCAGUAGCUGGUCUGAGAGGACGACCAGCCACACUGGAACUGAGACACGGUCCAGACUCCUACGGGAGGCAGCAGUGGGGAAUUUUGGACAAUGGGCGCAAGCCUGAUCCAGCAAUGCCGCGUGAGUGAAGAAGGCCUUCGGGUUGUAAAGCUCUUUUGUCAGGGAAGAAACGGCCUGUUCUAAUACAGUGGGCUAAUGACGGUACCUGAAGAAUAAGCACCGGCUAACUACGUGCCAGCAGCCGCGGUAAUACGUAGGGUGCAAGCGUUAAUCGGAAUUACUGGGCGUAAAGCGUGCGCAGGCGGUUUUGUAAGUUUGUCGUGAAAUCCCCGGGCUCAACCUGGGAAUGGCGAUGAAGACUGCAAGGCUAGAGUUUGGCAGAGGGGGGUAGAAUUCCACGUGUAGCAGUGAAAUGCGUAGAUAUGUGGAGGAACACCGAUGGCGAAGGCAGCCCCCUGGGUCAAAACUGACGCUCAUGCACGAAAGCGUGGGGAGCAAACAGGAUUAGAUACCCUGGUAGUCCACGCCCUAAACGAUGUCUACUAGUUGUCGGGUCUUAAUUGACUUGGUAACGCAGCUAACGCGUGAAGUAGACCG
rnacentral:rRNA from 1 species